GUUAUAAACAUUUUCAUAGUAUAAUUUUACUUGUUUUACUGUUAUUAUUUUACUGGUCUGGCCCACUUCAGAUCAUAUGGGGCUGAAUGUGGAACCUGAAGUAAAAUGAGUUUGAUGGCCCUGACCUAGAGGAAAGGAAACAGCAAAAAAGUUCAUACAUGAACACAAAAAAUAGCAUACCCAAUUAGAUAUAUGAUUUUCUUUCAAACAAAAUGUUUAUAGUCAAGAUUGAUGACUUUUUUUUCUUUGUUUGAGGUUAAUAUUAUAACUAGUUUCUAAGAGGAAAAAGUAAUUUGACCAGCUGAUAACACAGCUCCCCUGAAAACAGUUUGUUACUAUAUUUGACAUACCUACUAUACUAAUAAAUGGAAAAACAACAAAUAAAUCUGGAACUGUAUAUCCAACUAAUAGUCAAAAGUCUAAGCAAUUCUGGCUGUGACAGGUUUGAUCCAGUUUUACCAAUAUUUACAAAACAUCCAUCUGGGUCUGAUUAUUUCCAGUGAAUCAGUUGAUCUGUAGUUUGAAAUAUUUAAACAAUCAGGCAAACCUUUCUCAUUGCAUCAUUAUUAAUGUUAGUUUUCCUUUUCUAAAAAUAAUAUUGAGCCUUUUCAGGCACUUAAACCUUAGACAAGUUAGGGAUAAGGAAUCAGACCAAACAACAACAGAUCAGCCACUGAAAAAAAUCAAUGGUUAAAACUGUAAAAAUUCAACCUAUGUUUGUUUUUUCCUCUUUGUUCCUCUGAUUCAUUCAAAGUGUUUUAUUGUUUUUAUAUUUUUCUUACUAGUAGAAAGCACUAUGAAUUGAAUCUCAGCCACAGUUUCGUCCUAUACAGUUCUAUAAUCGUAAAAGGCUGUCAUUUAAGGGUCUACUGUGAGCUGUGUAAAAACCAAAAAUUAAAGUCAUUACACUUUAUUUAAUUAUUUAUUUAAAGUAAUCCAUUUAUUCAUUUUUUGAACUGCAGCUACCAGCGGGCAGAAGUGGGGUACACCCUGGACAUGUCACGAAGUUAGUCACAGUGUAGCUUUAAUUUAAUUUAAUUUAAUUUAUUUCUGUAAUGUUUAAGCUUGUUUUGUUGAGGGGGGAAAAUCCAUAUGUGUGAGUAAUCUGCACUGAUAAAUCAAGUAAAUAGACUGCUGUAUUCUCAAUAAUAAUCACAAUGACUCCUCUGUCAAAUCACACAGAUGAUGACGAUGUCUGAUGAAAAUUGUUAGCCUCUUAGCAGAAUUGCCUAAGUCAUAUUUUUUGCCAAAUUGUAAUAUCUGCAUAACUUUAGCUUCCUAAUACUGCUACUUCAUUUUGUGUCAUUGGCCAUGUUCUGAAAAAACAAACAAAAUGACUUAGGCGGUAAUGCUAUGAGGCAAAUGAAAUGUCUCCUAGCUUUGUUUUUGUUUAUUUUUUUAAUUAAACCUUUAUUGUAGGGGUGUAACGGUGCACUCGUUUGUACUGAACUGUUUCAGUUUGGGGCCUUCAAUACAACACAGAGGUGUACUGAAUAAAUACAUGUAGCCUAUGUGAAGAACGCAGGCGGAACCCACACACUAUGAGCUGGGUGGCCGCAAGUGGAACCCAUGUGCAAUAUUUGAUAUUCUAGUUUGAUGUCUAAGCAGUCCAAUCACCAUCCACAUGCUGAAGGUGAACCAGUAUGGCAGCUCAGAGCAGCGUCACAGGUACGCACCCAGAGUUGGAAGACCCUCCGUCUUCUCUAAAGUUUCCGAUUUGGGAGCAUUUCGGAUUCCCUGUUGGUUAUGUCAGUGGAGAGAAACAAGUCAACAAAACAAGAGUGGUGUGCCAACAUUGUUUUGUGAAGAUCAGUUAUAUUUAAAGUUUUUUUUCUAAUGAAAUUGGACUCCUUCACUGUACUGAAAACAUAUUGAAAAUGUAUCAAACCGAAAACGUAGCAAACCAACAUUUUUCUGUCCCGUUACACCCCUACUUUAUUGAUAAUUAACAGGUAGAAAGAUGCAACAUUUAACAAAAUAAGCAUCAUAUAAAUUCAAGUAUUGAUACAAGCAAUAAGCAGGUAAGCAUAACAGUACAAAAAGGUGCAAUACAAUAAACAAAAAUGAUCAAGUAAUAACAAAAAAUUAAUUAUCGAACAGUUUUAGGGUACAUUCACAUUUACGAUUUUUUUCUAAGGCUAAUAUUUUAUAAUACUUUUUAAUUCUUUAUUGAAGAUGUUGAUGUUAGGGAGGGAUCUGGAGAACUUUGCCUUAUGAAUAUGAUCUUUGCCCAUCAGUGGGAUUGGAUUAAUUAAGAAAAUUAAAGCUUUAUUAGAGCAUUCAAAUUUAGAGAUACUUGGAGAUACUGAGAUAUGUUUUUUGGUUUUGUUAAAAAUAACUUUCUCCAGUUUCCUCCAAAACAUGUUAGAGGAGGCACAGUUGUAAAGUAAGUGCAAAAUUGUAUCUGGCCCAUUUUUACAGAAGGUACAGUUUGCAUCAAUGUCAGCAAAUCCUAAGGGGAAGGAAUUGCAGGGGUAGAUGUUAUGUAAAAUCUUAAAAUUAAUUUCUCUGAUUUUAUUGGAGAUACACACUUGAAACGGAUUAAGCCACGAUAGACGCCAAUUUAUAUUAAUAAACUUUGAAUUCAAAGUGGAUUUGCAUUUAGGCCCAGCUUUGUUAGUAUUCACAGUAGGCCAUCAUUUCACAUGUGAUAAUGUUAAAAAUGAAACACGACGAACUUGACUGCAGUGUCAGAGUGUUCCUAAAUGUUACUGUGCUUUGUCCGUAUGGAGUGCACAAGUCCAGGACUGGUUGGGGGUGAUCACUGGAUCUGGUUGGAAAGGAGCUGUGGGUCUGCAGCCGAUACUGAUCAUAGUCUGAGGUGCAUUGAGUGUUCUUGUGUCUGAGUGGGCAUUAGAGAACUCAAACCAUGUGACACUAAAGUUGCCGAUGUAACCUGAACACAUCAUUCAUCUGUUUUAUUGACUGCCUUACUUUACUUCAGCCACAAUGGAGAAGCAUUCUGCCUUUCUAGACAAAACCAGGAAUUGUUUCAGUCCCUAUAUCCACCUUUUGACUGGUACACUCUACAUACCCCAUCAGUGUUUUGACAGAUAAUUUGAGCGUAGACUUUUUAUUUAAAGAGCAUUAAGGGUAAGUGUAAGGGUUUGGCAGGUUAUGUCAUUACGGAAGACAAUGAAUUGGAGGUUUAGGUUUUGUAAUCAUUGCUCAAUGAGACCUUAUAUGUUUUAUUCUGUCAAAGGUGAAAUGGUUUUUAUGAGAUUAUUUAUUUUAUGUGCAGUUUAAAUGUUUCUGGCACGUAACCUCUAAAGCUAUUAAUCAGAAAUAGCAUAUCAACAUGAAGCAAGACAAAAGGAAAAUGCAUUAUUUUGAUUUUGUUGCUAUCCUAACAUUACUGUAAACUGCCAAAGCACUGGAAUCAAGAAGCUGAACUUAGAGCCUACCACAAACCGCUGCUGAUAAGUAAAAUUCUGAUUUAUUUUUCAUUUAAUUUUACUUGUUUUUGUAAUCUGCUUAUUUGUGCUUUAUUGAUUAAGUGAUAUGUAAGUGAGUUUGUCCUUGUGUUGAAGUCACAUUGAAUAUUUUGUCCAAAGAUUUCCGAUUUUAACAUAAAAAAAAUAAGGUUCAGAGAAAAGUCAGUUUUACUGUGGUUUUGUUUUUCAGCACUUUCACCACUCAUGAAGGUACAUUUCCAGUAGGUUUGAUGUUUUUCUCAUGAAUGUGAGCCUGCAAAUGAAGGACUCAUGCCAGUGUUUUCCAUAAUUCUACUUUCAUAUAAAGUCAUGCACAAAUUCUCCUCUGACAGUUUCAUAUGCAUGGUGUACAGUUGUAGAUUUUUGGUAUGUAUUUUUUUUGGUUUUCAUUUGAUUUCUGCAAGCUAUAAUAAAACUUAAACAACUGGACUGUGAUGAAUGA